CGUCUCUUCAUUCUCUCUCGGCCGGUCGAGUGCUGCGAGAGUGCUUGAAGAGACGGC
rnacentral:pre_miRNA from 1 species